GACGUAGGGGGCCAGCGUUGUUCGGAAUUACUGGGUGUAAAGGGUUCGUAGGCGGUGUGGCAAGUCGGGAGUGAAAUCUCUAGGCUCAACCUAGAGUCUGCUUCCGAAACUGCUGUGCUUGGGUGUGGGAGAGGCGCGUGGAAUUGCAGGUGUAGCGGUGAAAUGCGUAGAUAUCUGCAGGAACACCCGUGGCGAAAGCGGCGCGCUGGACCACUACUGACGCUGAGGAACGAAAGCUAGGGGAGCAAACAGG
rnacentral:rRNA from 1 species